rnacentral:rRNA from 1 species
UACGUAUGUCACAAGCGUUAUCCGGAUUUAUUGGGCGUAAAGCGCGUCUAGGUGGUUAUGUAAGUCUGAUGUGAAAAUGCAGGGCUCAACUCUGUAUUGCGUUGGAAACUGUGUAACUAGAGUACUGGAGAGGUAAGCGGAACUACAAGUGUAGAGGUGAAAUUCGUAGAUAUUUGUAGGAAUGCCGAUGGGGAAGCCAGCUUACUGGACAGAUACUGACGCUGAAGCGCGAAAGCGUGGGUAGCAAACAGG